UGUUAUUUAGAGGUAGCAAAAUGGAUGGAUUGGAUGGGUUGUGGGAGAUUCAGGUUCAAGGUUCAGGUAAACCGGCUACUUUGUACAAAUCUGAAAAGAGGCAAGAGUUAAAAGAGGAAGAUUAACUUUGGUUGGAUGUAGAUGGAAAGCAUUUCUUGCAUAUGUGAAUGUUGGAUGUUAUUAUGUGGUUCGAUUGCCACUUGGUUCUUUGCUGGCCUUCAUGAUUAACUUUGGUGCUAAGAUUAAACAAUUUUCAAGAAACGAGGAAAACGCUUACAACAAUUCCGAUUACACUUAAAAAUGGUUAAGCUAGAAGUACCCAUAAAUACGAUAGCUCUUGUGGAGCUUCGAAAAAGUGGUUUACCCCAUGCUCAUAUGAAUUCCAGCUGCUGUUUAGGUUGGAGAAUCCGGGAUGUUGGCUGUGAUGCUUGAUUAUGGGGAAGUGAUGUUCAAUCCUUCAAUGAAGAAUAUGCCAAGAAGUGCUUGAUGACCAAUUUGUGAGAAUCAAGAAAGGCAACGACUUGCUAAUGUGUUUUCUAAUAAAAGCUCAAAGUGGAUUAACAUUUGUUAUAACAAAUGUAAAAGUCAACAGCUUGAUAUAAAGAGCUAUAAAAGUCAACAAUUACUGCUAUGGAGACGACCAGGAGAGAUAGUCAAGACAGUGGAAAUUACUAAAUGGACGAUUGGAGAAGAAACUCUUGCCAAUCAAAGAUAGGCCUUUAGCAGGUGAUGUUAAUCAAUGGCCUCUUUUCAUGCUCUUGGGUUUGAUGUUAACACAUACGACAAUAUUAUCAUCAUUUAAAUUCUAAUUACUAUUGUAAUGUGUUGUAUUUAUUCAAAAAAUGUGUGUUUGUUGUUUAGGCAUGGCAAGUAUUGCAGCCACAACGAAAAACCAAUUUUGAGCCUAAAUAAUUUAUGUUAAUGUUUGGUUUCUAUUCAUUCUUUGGUAUCAAAUUUGAUAUGCAGAAACUAUCAUAUAUGUUUUGUAUAACU
rnacentral:lncRNA from 1 species